AGAGAGAGACAUGCGCGCAUAUCAAUAAGCGGAGGAAAAGAAACUAACAAGGAUUCCCCUAGUAACGGCGAGUGAAGCGGGAAGAGCUCAAAUUUGAAAUCUUAAAGGGUUUCCCUUUACGAAUUGUAGUUUAAAGAAGUGUUUUCUGUUGAGGUUUUGGUAAAAGUUCUCUGGAAUAGGACAUCAUAGAGGGUGAGAAUCCCGUAUUUGACCUUUACUUUCAACUUUGUGAUACACUUUCAAAGAGUCGGAUUGUUUGGGAAUGCAGUCCAAAAUGGGUGGUAAAUUUCAUCUAAAGCUAAAUAUUGGCGAGAGACCGAUAGCGAACAAGUACCGUGAGGGAAAGAUGAGAAGAACUUUGAAAAGAGAGUUAAACAGUACGUGAAAUUGUCAAAAGGGAAGCGUUUGACACCAGUGUUGUUUUUCUGAAAAUCAAUUAAAGAACUGUUUAUGCUAAGCUGUUUAGACUUUAUCAGCUAUCUGUUUAGUUUUGAGCUUUUCUUUGAUGCACUUUUCAGUUAACAAGUCAACAUCAAUUUCUUUUGCUGUAAAAAAGCUUGAGGAAGGUGGCUUGAGAUUCGUCUUAAGUGUUCAUAGCCUCUUGCCUAUGCAGUCGGAGAGAUUGAGGUCAGCAGCGUAGAUCCUUCGGGGCUAAAUGCAUUUGUGCUAAGUUAUAGCAUUUUAUAGACAACUUGUUGACUAUGAUUUGUCUUGUAGCUUACUCGCUUAUGUUAUUUUACCUACGCUUAGGAUGUUGACGCAUGAGAUAUACGC
rnacentral:rRNA from 1 species